rnacentral:rRNA from 1 species
AGGGAAUCUUCCACAAUGGACGAAAGUCUGAUGGAGCAAUGCCGCGUGAGUGAAGAAGGGUUUCGGCUCGUAAAACUCUGUUGUUAAAGAAGAACACCUUUGAGAGUAACUGUUCAAGGGUUGACGGUAUUUAACCAGAAAGCCACGGCUAACUACGUGCCAGCAGCCGCGGUAAUACGUAGGUGGCAAGCGUUGUCCGGAUUUAUUGGGCGUAAAGCGAGCGCAGGCGGUUUUUUAAGUCUGAUGUGAAAGCCUUCGGCUUAACCGGAGAAGUGCAUCGGAAACUGGGAGACUUGAGUGCAGAAGAGGACAGUGGAACUCCAUGUGUAGCGGUGGAAUGCGUAGAUAUAUGGAAGAACACCAGUGGCGAAGGCGGCUGUCUAGUCUGUAACUGACGCUGAGGCUCGAAAGCAUGGGUAGCGAACAGGAUUAGAUACCCUGGUAGUCCAUGCCGUAAACGAUGAGUGCUAAGUGUUGGAGGGUUUCCGCCCUUCAGUGCUGCAGCUAACGCAUUAAGCACUCCGCCUGGGGAGUACGACCGCAAGGUUGAAACUCAAAGGAAUUGACGGGGGCCCGCACAAGCGGUGGAGCAUGUGGUUUAAUUCGAAGCUACGCGAAGAACCUUACCAGGUCUUGACAUCUUCUGCCAAUCUUAGAGAUAAGACGUUCCCUUCGGGGACAGAAUGACAGGUGGUGCAUGGUUGUCGUCAGCUCGUGUCGUGAGAUGUUGGGUUAAGUC